UGGUGGAGUGAUUUGUCUGGUUGAUUCCGAUAACGAACGAGAUUCUUACCAAGCAUUUUGGAUCGUAGGAGAACGGCCUUCGGGCUGAGUACCCUGCGCCAGUAAUGCCGGGACAGAGAUCAACUAAGAUCUAUGAGAAAGAGCGAUAACA
rnacentral:rRNA from 1 species